rnacentral:rRNA from 1 species
GACGAACCGUGCGAACGUUGUUCGGAAUCACUGGGCUUAAAGGGCGCGUAGGCGGGCUGUCGCGUCUGGGGUGAAGUCCUCCGGCUCAACCGGGGAAGGGCCUCGGGUACGGACGGCCUCGAGGGGGGUAGGGGCGUGCGGAACUGUGGGUGGAGCGGUGAAAUGCGUUGAUAUCCACAGGAACUCCGGUGGCGAAGGCGGCACGCUGGACCCUCACUGACGCUGAGGCGCGAAAGCCAGGGGAGCGAACGGG